AUAUCUUUUUGGGGGACAUGAUUCAAACCAUAACAGAUGUGAGGAUUAAUUGCUGAGGCAACUUGAUCUUUAUACUUCCACAGUCAAAUAAAUACCUAUUAACAUGUAUUCCUACCUUUUGAUUUCUGAUUUUAAAUCUGUUUUUGGGCCAUGCUAAGAGUAUAUUUUCCCAUUCCAGUGGUGACUUAACAUUUAGUAACCUUUGGUAAAAAAACAUUGUCAAAGUCCCUUGUAAAACCUCAGUAUAUCAUUUAAUAUACUCUAUUAUUUUCAUAUAAAAGGAACUCUAAGAAUAAUUAGUCAGGCAUGAUUCCUCCAGUGAAAUGUUCCCUUUCUCCUAGGAGGUUAUUUUACAUAUAAAUAUUUGAUGACUGUUUGCUAUUAUGAAUUCUUAGAGAUGUCCAAUAUACAAAAAAUAUUUACUGAGCCACCUUUAUAUGGCAAGCAAUGUUCAAGGCAGAUGAAAUAGUAGUAAACAUAAUGAAAGUACCUAUUUUCUUGGAGCUACAGUGUGAAGAACAAGCUGAGAUUAUAGAAGAAAAUAGAUAAUAAAAAACAUACAUAUUAAUAUAUAAACAAAUACCAUAUCAAAUGAGGUACACAGACAUACAGAAAUACAUAUAUUAGUACUUACUGCAUGGAAAUGUUUAGAACUAACCUACCACAUAGUAAACACUAGCCAACAAAACAGUAGUAGUCAUAGCAGUACUAGUAGUAUUAAUGGUAAACAUACUAGAAGUGAUAUGUAAGAAAAAAAGGGAGAGAGCAAUAGAAUAAAUAAUCAUGUCAGGGGGGGCGGAGGGCCAGACAGGGCCCAUUAUAGCUAGGGUAGUCAGAGAUAUCUCUCAAAGAACUGUCAUUUGAGCUGAAAUUACGAUAAGAAGGCAGCUGGUCAUAUGAAGAACUAGAGGAGAAGUUUUAAGAGAAAUAAAGCAGAAAGGUCCAAAUAUAAGAAAAAACUUGGUGUGUUCAAAGGGCAAUAAGACCAAAAUGGCUUGAGUGUGUCGAGUGUGACAGAUGACGGAAAGUGUUAGGAGAUGAAGCGGGGAGGUAGGCAAAAACAAGAUCAUGAGUUUGGGCUAUGGUAAGGAAUUAGAAUUUUUAUUCCAGUUAUUAUACAAAGGGAUACUAUGGGCAGGUCAUAAGUAGGAGAAAUAGAAGAUCUCAUAUACACAUUGAGAUCACUCUAGCUAUUGCAUAGGAAAUAAAAUGUAGGAAGGGCAAGGAAGCAAGCAAGUAGACUGGCCGAGCAGUUCAAACCAAAAUUUAUUGCGGGUUUUACAAAGAUGACUGUGGAGAUGCUAACAAGAGGUCAGAUUUGGGAUAUAUUUUGUAGGUAAUAUCAAGAGAACCUGCCGAUGGGAUGUGAGAUUUGAGGAAAAGAGUGAACACAGGGUGAUUCCCAAGAUUUUAGCUUGAGCGGUUGACUAAAGUUUUGAAGGCAAGAGAAGAACUUUUUCCUCUGACUCUACAGGUGGUUCCUGAAAGUGCUCUCCAGGUGACCUGAGAUCAGGCAGAUAAAGUUAAUCAAUAUUUUGGAAACUAAGUUCCAAUCUAACUGAACACAGUACAACCUCAGUGACUGCUAUAAAAAAGCUGUAAUCACCUCAAUUAUAUUAUAUUGAGAAUCAGGUGAGUGUUCUAACAAAAUAGUAAAGAACAGAGUGAAGUUGGGAAAAAGUAGAACUAAUGAGUAAGAAUACUUUUAAUAGACCUGCAAUGUCCAGAAGACAGACCAUUAUCCCUACUAGAAUUUAAGAAAUGGUGGUUGUCAUUUACAUAGUCAUCAUUCAAAAGUUUGUAACCUAUGUUCAAAAUCUAUGCAGAUUUCCUGAUAAAUUCAUGCUGGUUGCUUAUUAAUUGGUAACUCCAUUUUAAUAAUUAAUUGGCAUUUUUGAUACCUCAGUAAUCUCUUGAGAAAAAAGUUUAUUUUAAAAUAGUAACUUUUAUGAACAUAAAAUUGUAAGAACCAGGUCCUGGAAAAGAUUACAUCCACUAUUUAUUUAAAGUUUCCUGAGGUUUUCUUCUUCACAACUCCUAAGUCUGCCCCUCCCCAACCUUCCACCAAAAUCACAAAGUUGGAAACAAAUCAGUGUCAUUCAAAGAAUGAAUGAUUAAACAAACUGUGAUAUACCCAUACCUUAUGGGUUGAA